rnacentral:rRNA from 1 species
UACGUAGGGGGCUAGCGUUGUCCGGAAUCAUUGGGCGUAAAGAGCGUGUAGGCUGCUCGGUAAGUCCGCUGUAAAAGUCAAAGGCUCAACCUUUGAAUGUCAGUGGAUACUGCCGGGCUAGAGUCCGGAAGAGGCGAGUGGAACUCCUGGUGUAGCGGUGGAAUGCGCAGAUAUCAGGAGGAACACCGGUGGCGAAGGCGGAUCUCUGGGCCUUACCUGACGCUGAGGCGCGAAAGCUAGGGGAGCAAACAGG